rnacentral:sRNA from 1 species
UAUUACCGAGUUUACAACUCCCAAACCCCUGUGAACAUACCACUUGUUGCCUCGGCGGAUCAGCCCGCCCCCGGUAAAACGGGACGGCCCGCCAGAGGACCCCUAAACUCUGUUUCUAUAUGUAACUUCUGAGUAAAACCAUAAAUAAAUCAAAACUUUCAACAACGGAUCUCUUGGUUCUGGCAUCGAUGAAGAACGCAGCAAAAUGCGAUAAGUAAUGUGAAUUGCAGAAUUCAGUGAAUCAUCGAAUCUUUGAACGCACAUUGCGCGCGCCAGUAUUCUGGCGGGCAUGCCUGUUCGAGCGUCAUUUCAACCCUCAAGCACAGCUUGGUGUUGCGACUCGCGUUAAUUCGCGUUCCUCAAAUUGAUUGGCGGUCACGUCGAGCUUCCAUAGCGUAGUAGUAAAACCCUCGUUACUGGUAAUCGUCGCGGCCACGCCGUUAAACCCCAACUUCUGAAUGUUGACCUCGGAUCAGGUAGGAAUACCCGCUGAACUUAAGCAUAUCAAUA